GGGGAGUAAAGGGUACCACUGGCACUCAGGCCAGUUUCCUGCAGCUCUUUGAGGGAGAUGACCAUAAGGUAGAGCAGCUUGACAAGAUGGUGACAGAAAAGGCAGGAUUUAAGAGAGCUUUCAUCAUCACAGGGCAGACAUAUACACGAAAAGUGGAUAUUGAAGUACUGUCUGUGCUGGCUAGCUUGGGGGCAUCAGUGCACAAGUCCUUCGGGAACAGAGAGGAGUCGGAGUAAGAUACUCUGCAGGAGCUCUUUGGGAGGAUGCGCUGGUCUUCAGCUCAGCCACAGCACACCUAAGAGCUCAUCUCCUUCAUCAGCCUAGUCACAGCUCCCAGACUCUACUGCACACUGACAGUGUGGGGUGAUGCUUAUUCCCCUACCUCCCCCAGAUUUGCACCGACAUACGCCUCCUGGCAAACCUCAAGGAGAUGGAGGAACCCUUUGAAAAACAGCAGAUUGGCUCAAGUGCGAUGCCAUAUAAGCGGAAUCCCAUGCGUUCAGAACGUUGCUGCAGUCUUGCCCGCCACCUGAUGACCCUUGUCAUGGACCCGCUACAGACAGC
rnacentral:lncRNA from 1 species